rnacentral:rRNA from 1 species
AUGAAUCUACUUAGCUGGAACUGCCGGGGUGGGGGGAAUAUCCGGACAGUUUGAGAAGUGGCGACUUUCAUUAAGUCACAUUCCCCCAUUUUGGUAUUUUUGUGUGAAACAAGGCAGCCCAAGGAUAAAAUGAAGAAACAUCGGUCAAAUUUUGGCUUGGAGGGUUUUGAUGGAGUUGAUAGCAUUGGCAAUAGUGGUGGUUUGGCUUUGUAU